UGGUAUCAAUAAGACUAAAUGAAAAGAACAUUUAUAAUAGAUGAUUUAUUAACAUACAUACAACAAGGGAAGCUACAUACGAAGCAAUUUGUUUUGAUAAAUAAAUGACCCAUGCCACCCUAUGCUAUGGACCUAUGGUUACAGAACGACGAUAAUACAAUUAACAAAGGUUACAAAUGUGAAAAAAUAAUGAGGCGGCGUUCUUUUUUAGAUUUAGUUUUUUGCAGAGUAUUGUGUGACUUCACACAAAGGAAAAGUCGCAUCCUUACAAACAGACCCCGUACGUAGUCUAAAGGAAAGUUUUUGCAGGGAUGUGAGAAUGGAAUUUUGCUUAAUUCGGUAAGUAUUUGAAAACCAACCCGGGCCCCAGUGGAAUAACGUUCAAAAAGGCCGUUGGAGAACUGGUGUUCCAACUGGGCAAUGUAAUACACAAAAUUAGUUGCAGGCAUUGUUAGAUUACCAAAAUCUGAGCUUUCAUCUAAAUUUUUGUAGUGACAGAAUAAGGUAUCUUCGGAAAUAGUUUGGCAGGCCUGUGCAUAUUGUUCACAACUAGUGCAUGAAUGGCGCUGCAAGCAUUUUUGCAUUAAGUAUCCGGAAAUGUAUCUUAAAAUAUUUUGCUCCGGCAACUCCAAGGAACGGUAAUCUGUGGAAUCUACUUAUUUAAGGGGGCCAGAAUCUAGAGCAGUCAAAACAGUUGCUAAAUCUGGCAUGCAAUUGCCGGUUGUGGGUGGUAAUAAGAAUUUUGUGCAGAACAAUUUUCUGAAUGCCCAAACGAACUGUAUUGGUGUGGGGUUUAUACAAUUGCCACUUUGUUUUCGCACCGUUCCGAAAAAAUUUUCUAGAAAAUCUUGAUUUAAGCGCCUUGUGGGUAAGGGUUGGCUUAGAGAUCCGUGAAGCUGCAUCACUCCUUUAAUUGUUACCUGCCAACAUGCCAUCGAUUUAAUACGACGAGUUACGUCCGCGUUUCUGUCAUCAACGACAGCAGUUGUUUUAAAAAAGUGCAGCAUUUUUUCAAGGUGGUUUUUUUGCAAUUCUGAUCCUACAAAAGCAGAUUUAAAGGACUCUACAUUUGUUACCAAGCCAACGCUGCAGUUGAUAGCAGUCCUAGAGACAUCUCGGUUUCCAUACCAGAUGCCACGGUGUGGCUAAACAACUGGGUGGCAAAUUUAACCUUCAUCUUGUCAAACUGGCCAGGACUUAUGUGAACCGACUGCAGUUUAGGAGCAAAUUUGAAAGGCUUUGAUGAGAUGGCACACAUCAAAAAUGUAAAAAAUGCGAUCUGUACAUAUACCCUUACAAUAAAAAUAGGGUGUUUCGGGCGUCACGUUUAAGCUCGCAGCGACCUGCUGAAAAUUGGUGCCCAAGUCUGAAAUGACCGCUUUCACUUGGAGGCCGAUAGCGUACAACUUGUUGAUAACAGCAAACAGUAAUGUUUGCAAUUCCCUAGCAUUACACUGUGUAUUAACAAAUACAUAAGCUAGUGCCUGCUUCCAAUUAUCAAAAAUACCGCGCGCCAUUAUUGUUAGAACAUUAUUGGCAGGCUUGUAUUCUUUGCCAUCUACUUGGUGAAAGCCCACGAUUUGAUCUUUGCUUACAUCAUAAUACAAAUUUGCUUUUAAGCUCAUCUCGUCCAUACAAAUAACACACUGCCGGGCUUCUGCAUUUAAAUUCAAGACCUUCAGCCGCAACAUUUCAAACACGGUCUCAUCUAUUCCCGGUUCUAUCCGUAUUUUAGAAGUAAAUCGUUGCAACGUUCUGAUGCUUGGUAGCAUAAAAGUGGUUUCCACCUCGUUCUGCCUCUCCAGCAUCUCUACCUCCGCACCUACGGGCUCUGUUGUCUGCGACGCCUGCCGCAGUUUUCGUCUGAGGGCUUGCUUCCGUGGAGAAUUACUCGAUAACGCUGUCCCAGUUUGUGUUGCGACACUUUUUCCGGUCGGUGAUGCAAAUUGCUGCUCAUGCACAGAUGUGGAAGGCCCGGCCUCUUCUUGUGGCGGCGGGGUGGCAGCUACUUCUUCCCUGCUGGUUCCCGGAAGCACACAGGAACUUUGCUCUUGAUGUGACAGAUAUCAUAAUACACCAGUAUUUGGAUCAUUUGUACCUGACUCUUUCUGGUGAGGGAUUGCGUCUCCACGAAGGGCCUUUUUUUGAGGAUGUGUGAACAUGUUGUCUGCAAAAUGAUCUGCACAUAGACGGAAAUUGCCGUGGUCCUUCAUUUCACGGGUUAACAAGUCUACUCGCCCACUUGCAGUGGCCCAUAUUUUGAACCUGCAUAAAAAUUAUGCGUAUAAAUCGUAAUAUGUGGGGCAUUCCACGCCAAAUCGGACGGUUUGAGAAAUUUUUUGUUUUGAUUUCCUCAAUUUUGUGAUAUGUUUUAGUACCCCUUAAGGUAGCAUUUUUGGUAAAUUUUGAGAUUUUUUUGAUUACCCGUUCAAAAGAUAUCGACUUUCUAAAAAAAUUGCUGUUUUUUUAGAUUUUUGGGCAUAAUUUCUGCAAAAAUGGUUCAAAUUUAACCAUUUUUUUUUAACAUUUGGGUUUUUAAAUGGCCUUUAUAGAAAAACAUUUAAAAAAAACUUUUUCAAGAUUGUUUCAUAAUGAUUUUUUUAUGUUAGAUUUUAAUUCGAGUUUUAAAAUUUUUUUAUAUCCUUCGCUUUUUUCAAAAUUUUUUAUUUUAAACUUCUAUUUAUAUCUCAAUUUUUAAUCCCGGUUCGGUAAUGGGAUCUCAAAAUUAGAUUUUUUUUAAUUAUUAAAAAUAAAAAAAAUAUUUUUUCGUAAAUUAUUUUACGUAUUUUUGAUUUUUGAAAUUGUACACGCAUUUUUUAAGUAUUAUAAAUAAAUUUUAAUACUGUUUCAUUAUUAUUAUUAAGUGUUUAAAGUCAAUAAAUACCAAUUAACUUUAUUGGUAAAUACAAUUACCACUGUCAUUUUCAUUUAAGGGGUACUAACACAUCACAAAAUUGAGGAAAUAAAAAAAAAAUAUUCUCAAACCGUCCGAUUUGGCGUGGAAUGCCCCAUGUACAUUCAAAACGAUUUUAUAUUAAUGAGACCGCACUGUAAUUAAUUGUGUAAAUCUUGUCGGUACAUUUUUUAUGUAUCUAUUUUUAGAGUAACUUACCUUUUUGCUUCUUUUGGGAAACGAAAGAAGCUUUUAUUUCCAUCCGCAGUAGAAUUUGUGCACCCCGCAGCACUACACAGGCGUCUUUUAGGCAUUCUAAUUGUCUUUUUUCAAUUGCACUAUCACUAAUAUGUAUACUACACUAAAGGCUACGUAACUAAAUCUAAGAAUAAUAUUAAUGCACUAUAUACUAUAUACAAAAAAAGUCAAAAAGUUCCAAACUAAAAAAAGCCACAAAAUUCGCAAAUCUACAAAAUCGUACUGUACUCGCACUGAUCUGCUUUGCGAAUGCUUAUUACUUUCUGCGUAGUGCAGAUUCUGCAUUUUUUAAGUGUUAAUGUAAACAUAACUUUGCACUUCAUAAGUGCCCGCACGUGUGUUCUAAUAUUUACGGAAACUUUCUUUUUAUAAUUAUUACUUUUGGGCUUAGUUGUAAAUUUUUUAAAUGUAAUAAUUUACGUUUCAGCUAUUACCAAAUAUAUUUUUACAUACC